rnacentral:rRNA from 1 species
GGCAGCAGUGGGGAAUCUUCGGCAAUGGGCGAAAGCCUGACCGAGCAACGCCGCGUGAAUGAUGAAGGCCUUCGGGUUGUAAAAUUCUGUUAUAAGGGAAGAACGACUUUAGUAGGAAAUGGCUAAAGUGUGACGGUACCUUAUGAGAAAGCCACGGCUAACUACGUGCCAGCAGCCGCGGUAAUACGUAGGUGGCAAGCGUUGUCCGGAUUUAUUGGGCGUAAAGGGAGCGCAGGCGGUGACUUAAGUCUGAUGUGAAAGCCCACGGCUUAACCGUGGAGGGUCAUUGGAAACUGGUCGACUUGAGUGCAGAAGAGGGAAGUGGAAUUCCAUGUGUAGCGGUGAAAUGCGUAGAGAUAUGGAGGAACACCAGUGGCGAAGGCGGCUUCCUGGUCUGUAACUGACACUGAGGCGCGAAAGCGUGGGGAGCAAACAGGAUUAGAUACCCUGGUAGUCCACGCCGUAAACGAUGAGUGCUAAGUGU